rnacentral:rRNA from 1 species
GUAGUCAUAUGCUUGUCUCAAAGAUUAAGCCAUGCAUGUCUAAGUAUAAGCAAUUAUACCGUGAAACUGCGAAUGGCUCAUUAAAUCAGUUAUCGUUUAUUUGAUAGUACCUUACUACUUGGAUAACCGUGGUAAUUCUAGAGCUAAUACAUGCUGAAAACCCCAACUUCGGAAGGGGUGUAUUUAUUAGAUAAAAAACCAAUGCCCUUCGGGGCUCCUUGGUGAUUCAUAAUAACUUCUCAGAUCGCAUGGCCUUGCGCCGGCGACGGUUCAUUCAAAUUUCUGCCCUAUCAACUUUCGAUGGUAAGGUAUUGGCUUACCAUGGUUUCAACGGGUAACGGGGAAUUAGGGUUCGAUUCCGGAGAGGGAGCCUGAGAAACGGCUACCACAUCCAAGGAAGGCAGCAGGCGCGCAAAUUACCCAAUCCCGACACGGGGAGGUAGUGACAAUAAAUACUGAUACAGGGCUCUUUUGGGGCUUGUAAUUGGAAUGAGUACAAUUUAAACCUCUUAACGAGGAACAAUUGGGGGGCAAGUCUGGUGCCAGCAGCC